rnacentral:rRNA from 1 species
AMUGCAGUCGAACGGUAACAGGAANCAGCUUGCUKYUUYGCUGACGAGUGGCGGACGGGUGAGUAAUGUCUGGGAAACUGCCUGAUGGAGGGGGAUAACUACUGGAAACGGUAGCUAAUACCGCAUAACGUCGCAAGACCAAAGAGGGGGACCUUCGGGCCUCUUGCCAUCGGAUGUGCCCAGAUGGGAUUAGCUUGUUGGUGGGGUAACGGCUCACCAAGGCGACGAUCCCUAGCUGGUCUGAGAGGAUGACCAGCCACACUGGAACUGAGACACGGUCCAGACUCCUACGGGAGGCAGCAGUGGGGAAUAUUGCACAAUGGGCGCAAGCCUGAUGCAGCCAUGCCGCGUGUAUGAAGAAGGCCUUCGGGUUGUAAAGUACUUUCAGCGGGGAGGAAGGGAGUAAAGUUAAUACCUUUGCUCAUUGACGUUACCCGCAGAAGAAGCACCGGCUAACUCCGUGCCAGCAGCCGCGGUAAUACGGAGGGUGCAAGCGUUAAUCGGAAUUACUGGGCGUAAAGCGCACGCAGGCGGUUUGUUAAGUCAGAUGUGAAAUCCCCGGGCUCAACCUGGGAACUGCAUCUGAUACUGGCAAGCUUGAGUCUCGUAGAGGGGGGUAGAAUUCCAGGUGUAGCGGUGAAAUGCGUAGAGAUCUGGAGGAAUACCGGUGGCGAAGGCGGCCCCCUGGACGAAGACUGACGCUCAGGUGCGAAAGCGUGGGGAGCAAACAGGAUUAGAUACCCUGGUAGUCCACGCCGUAAACGAUGUCGACUUGGAGGUUGUGCCCUUGAGGCGUGGCUUCCGGAGCUAACGCGUUAAGUCGACCGCCUGGGGAGUACGGCCGCAAGGUUAAAACUCAAAUGAAUUGACGGGGGCCCGCACAAGCGGUGGAGCAUGUGGUUUAAUUCGAUGCAACGCGAAGAACCUUACCUGGUCUUGACAUCCACAGAACUCUCCAGAGAUGGAUUGGUGCCUUCGGGAACUGUGAGACAGGUGCUGCAUGGCUGUCGUCAGCUCGUGUUGUGAAAUGUUGGGUUAAGUCCCGCAACGAGCGCAACCCUUAUCCUUUGUUGCCAGCGGUCCGGCCGGGAACUCAAAGGAAAUGCCAGUGAUAACUGGAG